rnacentral:rRNA from 1 species
AUUGAACGCUGGCGGCAUGCCUUACACAUGCAAGUCGAACGGCAGCGGACCUUCGGGUGCCGGCGAGUGGCGAACGGAUGAGUAAUAUAUCGGAACGUACCUUUCAGUGGGGGAUAACGUAGCGAAAGUUACGCUAAUACCGCAUAUUCUGUGAGCAGGAAAGCAGGGGGAUCGCAAGACCUUGCGCUGAUUGAGCGGCCGAUAUCAGAUUAGCUAGUUGGUGAGGUAAAGGCUCACCAAGGCGACGAUCUGUAGCGGGUCUGAGAGGAUGAUCCGCCACACUGGAACUGGGACACGGUCCAGACUCCUACGGGAGGCAGCAGUGGGGAAUUUUGGACAAUGGGCGCAAGCCUGAUCCAGCCAUGCCGCGUGAGUGAAGAAGGCCUUCGGGUUGUAAAGCUCUUUCGGCCGGGAAGAAAUCGCACAGGUUAAUACCCUGUGUGGAUGACGGUACCGGAAUAAGAAGCACCGGCUAACUACGUG